rnacentral:lncRNA from 1 species
GAAUGAGUGUGUGAAAGAAGGAAGCAGACAUCUCAGCCACUGUGUAGACCAGGUAUCAUAUCAAUCCUAUGUGGAAUCCUCAGGAACAGUAGGAACUGAUGCAGAUUUGGGCCUCACAGGCACUAAAAGAAAAAGUUCAAAGCAAAUGCAGUAUCAGGGUGAGAAUCUUCAUUUUAUACUUUGUUAAUACGUGUAACCUAACUAAAUCUGGAUUUCAAAGAUUAAACAGAAAUUCAUAUGGACAUCCAGAAAGAAGGCAAAAAAAAAAAAAAAAAAAAAAGGUCAAGUACAGAUAGCUUCAGAUUCCUCCCUAGCAAUCUUCUCUACAGAAGACAGAGGAGAAGGUUUAUACCUUUGUUGUUCAGAAAUGCGACUCACGCACCAGCAGCUCCGGGAUUACUUGGGAGCUUAUUAGGAAUGCAGGAUCUCUGCUGCCAUUCCAUAUCUACUGAAUCAGAAUCUGCACGUGACCAGAUUUUUAGGUGAUUCUUAUGCAUACGAAAUUCUGAGGGAACAAAAAUGUGAUACAGUUUUUAAAAGUCCACCCAAAGAGUCUCUAGUAUAGAGACAACAAAUUCUCAAAUCUGAAAGAAUAAAGCAGUGAUUCUCAACCAGGCUGCUUCUUUGACCCUUGUUUGUAACUUCCUUUGGCCUUUUUGUUUUUUCCUACUAAGAGCGCUUAUUCUCUUAGUGUAAUUUCUCUGAGAUUGGAGAUAUUUACUCGUCUGUACAUUAGGACCCUUUGAGAAUUUUUAAAAAAUACUGUUGCAUGGAUCAUACUGUUAGAGAAACUGGUUGAAUUGGUUUGGAAUGAUAGCCAAAAGUCAUUGGUUUUUCAGAAGCUCUCAGGUCAUUACAGUAUGAAGCCAAGGUUGAGAAUCAUUGACUCAAGGGAAAAUCAACCCAUAAAUCUCAAGAGGGUUUCUCUUGAAAGAACCACUGAAAGAUGGACACCAGACAACAAAGCAAGGAAUCAAGAGAAAGAGCUUAGGAAUGAAGAAGUUGUGGCGAGAGGUCAGUGGUUAUGCAACGCCGCGGAAAGCCGAGAAGGAAGGCAAACAGAUGUAGCUUCCACGUGGUGUGAUGGGCCCUCGUGCCCCAGCUGCAUUAGGCCUUUUCUGGGACUGCAGAGCUGCGUGAAGGACCAGAACCCGUUCCCACACAGUGUAUUCUGCGCGGAUGGCCCCCUGUGAAACGUGGUAGCCCCACAUUUUUUCCUGCUCCCCCACAUUAUGUGACCAACCUGUAGCCACCUGCUAGGUUGUAAAACUAGUUUUCCUGCUGUCUUGCCACCUAAUCAGUUCUCACGUGAGUUCUUUUUUUUUUUUUUUUCUCUGGGUCAGAGGAUCAUGAGUUCUUGGGUUCACUGUGGUCAGAGUCAAUAGCCACCUUUCCGGAAGCUGCUUGCCAAUGAGAUAAUUCAGAAUUUCUUCGGGAAACACCAAUAUCUAAAUCCACACAGAUUUUCCAUUUUUCUAACUAGAACAGCUGAAUACAGCUUAGUCAGGAACACCCUAGGAUUAGCAGGCUGUCAAACACUCUUAAUUACAUUUGGACUGUUUGGCAUCUCUCACAUCUGGAGCCCUGAAGUAUUAAGCAAGUCAUGUGACUAUUUAAUUGGGUCAAGAUGGCCUUUCCUAAAGUUAGGCAAUUGUUCCCACCAACAGUCUUCAUGUUUCUGGUUUGGAAAAGAGAUAUAACACUGUUUGCUAUGUGCCUCUUACUAUAAAUGUUGGACACUGUUCUAAGCACAUAAUAUGAACUAAUUCAUUUAAUAUGGUGCUACCAUAUAAGGAAACCCAGGCAUUGAGAAGUCAGGCAACCUGCUCCUAGUCACAUAGCCACCCUUCCCUAGCCUGCUUUGCCUUUGGCUAUUCCAUACUUGAUUUUAGCCAGCAGCCAGAGGAAAGGGAAAAAACUCCACAGUAAAGUUUGUUUCUAAUAGCUGCAGAGGAGUAUUUCAUUCUGUUACCAAAUUUACCAUGAAGAGUUUGAUUCCAGCCAUACAAAGAGCUUUAAAAAAUAUACUAAUUUCACAGUCAUGUAAUUCCGAUUCUAAAAAAAAUGUGUAUUUGAGAUAUAAUGAGAGUCUUUCCCCAUUUUAUUUGUCAUAUUUUUUUUUCUAAAAAGUUGCUUUAUGGGGCAGCCCGGUAGCUCAGUGGUUUAGCGCUGCCUUCAGCCCAGGACCUGAUCCUAAAGACCCAGGAUCGAGUCCCACAUCAGGCUCCCUACAUGGAGCCUGCUUCUCCCUCUGCCUGUGUCUCUGCCUCUCUCUCUCUCUCUGUGUGUGACUAUCAUAAAUAAAUAAAAAUUAAAAAA